AAAACCAAAUUAAUGAACCAAAAUCCCAGCAGUUCGUCCGCACCGCCUAAAUAAGUAAAUAUCCCACGUUCUCCAUCUUCCUCCUCCUCCCACCACGAUUUCCAUAGUUAAGGAUCGAGUUUCCAAUCGAAAGAGUUCAAUCUAAAUCCAAAUCCAAAAGUUCAAUCCCAAUCUAUGUUGACUCAAAUCGAAAUUUCCCAAAUCCAAAAUUACAGUGUUUCAAUCCAAAUCCAGAUGUUUUCGUAUUUAGCUUCUUCUCCGGCGAACGUUUCUCGGCGGCGACAAUUAUCUGGCGAAUGUAUUUCCCGGCUGCGCGUGGUUAACUAUCAAGUGUGUAAUUUUAAUGGACCAUUGGAUGUAUGAGGUUGGGUUCUGUUGAGAAUUUGCUGGACUUGAGUAUUUGAAACUCCCACGAGACCAUUUGUCAAGCAUGCCUUCGUAGCCGCACCUUACUGGCCUUGUGUGUCUGCAAUCCCAGUGAGCUUGUUAGCCUGUCUUCUUAGCACCGUAUAAUGAUGAUCCUCUAAACAAUGAAAAUUACAAGGGCACACGAAAAGGAGUUCAAGUUGAUUUGCGUAAGACUAUAGACAUAGCACUUUUUGGUUUUCGAACCGAAAAGGGAUUGUUGAAGAAAAUUAAAAUGAGCACCAAGUGGAUACAGAUACAAGUAAUUGAUUGUAUUUUGCCUGUGUAGUGUCCUCGGCAAAAGAAUGUCUUGGAUUCUGGAUAUUAUGUCAUGAGAUACAUGAAAGAGAUCAUCGACCAUAAGCAAACUCGAAUAUUUGAAGAUUACUUUCAUGAUUGCAAUGUUCCGAAUUAUAAUCAAGGACAAAUUGAUGAAGUCAGAGCUCAAUGGACGCGUCAUGUUCUUCUCAUGUGAAUAUUGUGAUGUAUUAAUUAUGUUUUUCGAAUAGAAUUUCUCUAGAACGUUUUAAUUUUAUUUUAUUGGUUUGAAAUUGAAAGAAGUACUAUAUGACAAGGAUACUUCUUUCUGUUUUGUAGUGUGUUUUUAUUCUACUGUGUAUUUAGGCAUAUAUGAUUUUAAGUUAUGUACGAGACACCGAGAAAUUUAUUUGAUAUGAUAGAAAUGAAGUUGGGUCUUAUAUGUA